GAACGAAGCGUGGGGAACGGAGAUUCGUCGAAGGGAACCAUGACUUAGUGGCGGACGGGUGAGUAAUGUAUGAGCAACCUGCCUUUCAGAGGGGGACAACAUUUGGAAAUCAGUGCUAAUGCCGCAUGAUAUACGUCGAUGACAUCUUUUUCGGACCAAAGGAGCUUACCACUGAAAGAUCGGCUCACACUGAUUAGGUAGUUGGCGGGGUAACGGCCCACCUGGCCGACGAUCAGUAGCCGAGCUGAGAGGAAGAACGGCCACAUUGGGACUGAGAUACGGCCCAGACUCCUACGGGAGGCAGCAGUGGGGAAUAUUGCACAAUGGGGCAAACUCUGAUGCAGCCACGUCGCGUGAAGGAAGAAGGCCUUAGGGUUGUAAACUUCUUUUUACAGGGACGAAGAAAGUGACAGUACCUGGAGAAGAAGCUCCGGCUAAUUCCGUGCCAGCAGCCCCGGUAAUACGAAGAU
rnacentral:rRNA from 1 species